rnacentral:rRNA from 1 species
AUUGAACGCUGGCGGCAGGCUUAACACAUGCAAGUCGAGCGGGGUGAUGUAGCUUGCUACAUUACCUAGCGGCGGACGGGUGAGUAAUGCUUAGGAAUCUGCCUAUUAGUGGGGGACAACAUUCCGAAAGGAAUGCUAAUACCGCAUACGCCCUACGGGGGAAAGCAGGGGAUCUUCGGACCUUGCGCUAAUAGAUGAGCUUAAGUCAGUUUAGCUAGUUGGUGGGGUAAAGGCCUACCAAGGCGACGAUCUGUAGCGGGUCUGAGAGGAUGAUCCGCCACACUGGGACUGAGACACGGCCCAGACUCCUACGGGAGGCAGCAGAGGGGAAUAUUGGACAAUGGGCGAAAGCCUGAUCCAGCCAUGCCGCGUGUGUGAAGAAGGCCUUUUGGUUGUAAAGCACUUUAAGCGAGGAGGAGGCUACCGAGAUUAAUACUCUUGGAUAGUGGACGUUACUCGCAGAAUAAGCACCGGCUAACUCUGUGCCAGCCGCCGCCGUAAAAC